rnacentral:SRP_RNA from 1 species
GUUAGCCCCCCGUGCGGCGACAUCGUGCUGAACUCCCCCAGGGCCGGAAGGCAGCAAGGGUAGGCGUGCCCUGUCGGGUGCACGGGGGGUCCCUCAC